UCAUUUUGAUCCUCAAAACUAUUUAACUUCUCAAACUAUCUGGCCAACUCACACUUUAAUUUUUCAAAAUUUAAUUUAUUAUAACUUAUAUUAGAAAAAACUUUAAAUAUCACUCCUAUUGUUUGCACCUUUCAUUUUAAUAUCAUAUAAUUUAAAAUGUAUCACUUUAUUAUUCUAUGGUUUCGUUUUUCUCUUUCCGUUAUCUUCUUCGUUAAUUUUUUCGUUAAAUCAGUGAUAAAAUCAAAACCAUUGGGUAUUAAAAGUAAAAAUUUGAUAAACGACGGGAUACUAAAGUGAAUAUUAAAAAAACUAUAGGUGAGGUAUCUAAAAUUUCUUAAAUAUAUAUAUGAUUUAACGGAGAGUUAACGGAGGUGCUCAUAGAAAAAGAAAAAUAAAACCAUAGGGUAUUAAAAUGAUACACUUCAAACUAUAGAGUAAUAAAGUGAGAAAGUGUGAAACCAGAUAGGUGGUAUUUGAAGUUUAUCCUUUAUAUUAUUAAAAUUUUACAUAUUAUUAUAAUUUUAGUUUAUUAAAUAUUAACGUCUCGCCGAUAUAAAAUAGUAUGAUAUUUUAAUCAUUAUCCUAUCAUCAAUAAUAUCAUUAUCAAAUCACUUUUAUAUUGGCGACACAUUAAUAUUUCGUUAACUAUAUUUUUUUAAUUUGAUUGCAAUAAAUUAAAAAAUUUAAGUCUAAUAUUAUGAUAAAUUAAAAUUUUGAGAACUAA
rnacentral:lncRNA from 1 species